UAGCAUAUAGAUCAUCUGAAUAUAUA
rnacentral:piRNA from 1 species